UCCCUGGUGGCUCAGAUGGUAAAGCAUCUGCCUGCAAUGCAGAAGGCCUGGGUUUGAUCCCUGGGUCUGGAA
rnacentral:tRNA from 1 species